rnacentral:rRNA from 1 species
GAGCGCCCCGCAAGGGGAGCGGCAGACGGGAGAGUAACACGUGGGAACGUACCCUUCAGUUCGGAACAACCCAGGGAAACUUGGGCUAAUACCGGAUACGUCCGUAAGGAGAAAGAUUUAUCGCUGAAGGAUCGGCCCGCGUCUGAUUAGCUAGUUGGUGGGGUAAUGGCCCACCAAGGCGACGAUCAGUAGCUGGUCUGAGAGGAUGAUCAGCCUCACUGGGACUGAGACACGGCCCAGACUCCUACGGGAGGCAGCAGUGGGGAAUAUUGGACAAUGGGCGCAAGCCUGAUCCAGCCAUGCCGCGUGGGUGAUGAAGGCCCUAGGGUUGUAAAGCCCUUUCGGCGGGGAAGAUAAUGACGGUACCCGCAGAAGAAGCCCCGGCUAACUUCGUG